rnacentral:rRNA from 1 species
CCUACGGGUGGCAGCAGUGAGGAAUAUUGGUCAAUGGGCUUACGCCUGAACCAGCCAAGUCGCGUGAGGGAAGACUGCCCUAUGGGUUGUAAACCUCUUUUGUCAGGGAGCAAUUGGCGCUACGUGUAGCGUUAUCGAGAGUACCUGAAGUAAAAGCAUCGGCUAACUCCGUGCCAGCAGCCGCGGUAAUACGGAGGAUGCGAGCGUUAUCUGGAUUUAUUGGGUUUAAAGGGUGCGUAGGCGGAAUGCCAAGUCAGCGGUAAAAUCGCGGGGCUCAACCUCGCUCCGCCUUUGAAACUGGCGUACUUGAGUGAGCGAGAGGUAUGCGGAAUGCGAGGUGUAGCGGUGAAAUGCGUAGAUAUCACGCAGAACACCGAUUGCGAAGGCAGCAUACCGGCGCCCAACUGACGCUGAAGCACGAAAGCGUGGGUAGCGAACAGGAUUAGAUACCCCAGUAGUC